rnacentral:piRNA from 1 species
AUUACGAUUCAUACAGCAG